UACGUAGGGGGCGAGCGUUGUCCGGAUUUAUUGGGCGUAAAGAGCUCGUAGGCGGUUUGUCGCGUCUGCUGUGAAAACUGGAGGCUCAACCUCCAGCCUGCAGUGGGUACGGGCAGACUAGAGUGCGGUAGGGGAGAUUGGAAUUCCUGGUGUAGCGGUGGAAUGCGCAGAUAUCAGGAGGAACACCGAUGGCGAAGGCAGAUCUCUGGGCCGUAACUGACGCUGAGGAGCGAAAGCAUGGGGAGCGAACAGG
rnacentral:rRNA from 1 species